CCUAUUCACGAUGACGACGAUUAGGUAUCGACAUCUGGAUACGGCAUUAGUUUGUAUGAGGCAAACUAUUCUCUAUCAUAUUAGUCGGCCCGAAUCAGUUUAUAUUUGCUAAAAUUUGUAUGAAAUUUUUUUCUUGGCAUAAUUUUUUCUACUUAAAGUACGUUGUCAUGACCCUAAUUUGAAUUAUUUUCUAUAGACGUUCAGAUAUUCUCAAAAAAACUUGUCAUUAUAAUAUAAAAUUAUCUCAAAACAUAUUUUUUUAUGACGUUUUUUCACCACUUGCAGGCAAUGGUGAUUUUCACUUACAUAGAGUACUAAUUUGAUUAAGGAAAAAUCAUGUUCAUUCAUAAUUUUCAUUUUAAAAGUGUAUUGAUUCCUUCUGCAAAUCCAUACUGUCAUGCCUAUUACCCAAUAUCGUCAACGCGGAUAGUUCGUUAGUCGAAAAUACUGAAUAAUUAAACAAACCAAAUGGCAUCACUGGUGGUUCUUUUUUCCACUCCGCUAAACUGUCAUCUCAAACAAAAACAAAUGGAUCAUACAACUGCUAUGAAUACAUUCGACUCGUUUGCUUCCAUCAAUCGGCAAUGGUGAUUUUCACUUACAUAGAGUACUAAUUUGAUUAAGGAAAAAUCAUGUUCAUUCAUAAUUUUCAUUUUAAAAGUGUAUUGAUUCCUUCUGCAAAUCCAUACUGUCAUGCCUAUUACCCAAUAUCGUCAACGCGGAUAGUUCGUUAGUCGAAAAUACUGAAUAAUUAAACAAACCAAAUGGCAUCACUGGUGGUUCUUUUUCCCACUCCGCUAAACUGUCAUCUCAAACAAAAACAAAUGGAUCAUACAACUGCUAUGAAUACAUUCGACUCGUUUGCUUCCAUCAAUCGGUAAGUGAGAAAGAUGAUUUCUCCCAUCAGUGCGGAUUUCCACUUCUAUCACAGCAGCCAACAACAUCCGUUUUCCUGCAGCAGUAACCUUCAACCCCUGUUGGCAAUGCCAGGGGACAGCAUCAACAGCAGCAGCAGCAGAAUUUGACCAUGGUAUGGUAUUGCGAAGAACUUUCCCCAUUAGAGGUUCCGUGCUUCGCGCACAUUCAAAAUCCUCUUCAGACACGAAAACUCAACGACAAGGAGGUAUUUAUCAACUUGCUCAGCUCAAUUACCACCCGGAGGAACCCGAAUGCACUGAUUCCGUUGUAUAGUAGAAUGAAAAUAGGCGAGGUAAGCGAACGUAAUCGCAUGAUAUUUUAAUAGUUCGCAUUUUUAUCCGGAUCAUACAACUGCUAUGAAUACAUCCGACUCAAUCAAUCGGCGAGUGAGAAAGAUGAUUUCCCUCAUCACCACAUUGCUUAUUUCCACUUCUGUCACGCCAGCCAACAGCAUCAGCUUUCCCGCAGCAGUAUCCUUUAAGUCCAGGGUGCUAUUCCGGGCAACAGCAUCAUCAGUAACAGCAGCAGGACCUGGCCAUCGAUAGUAUUUCGAGCAAUUUUCCCCAUCGGAGAUCCCAUGCUUCACGCACAUUGAAGAAACCUCCUCAGCCACAUAUGUGUGUCAAGGAGAAAAAGGAGCUGGAUUCGAAUCGUCAAUCCAGACAACCCGAAUGCACCGAUUGCAUUAUAUAUCUUGUUUAUAUUUUAUAUGCAUUUUGUGUUUUUUUGAAUAAAAUGAUUAAAAUCGA